rnacentral:lncRNA from 1 species
AUCUGACCGGCGCGCGAGCCGCGCUCACUGCGCUUGCGUCCUGCGGUCUUCCUGAGCGAAAGCUGGUGAACUGGGGUGCUGGGGUGCUAUCUGCGGGCAUUUCAGCUCCUUCCGCCGCUGCUGAGAAAGUUGAAGGCUUCGAAUUAAAUGAGUAGCAGCUCACCUAGUUCCUCCACACUGUUAGCGGGCAUGCCCGUGCUGGGUAAGCAGACCCAUCUUCACGGAGCCGAAAGUGGACCCAGGAAUUCCAAGCGGUGUACUGCAAGUCACAUCUCUGAUUCUAGCCCGUCUGCUCCCGGAGACCCGCUUUCCUACAUCUAGAAAAAAACAGGGGUCUGUGGCGAGCCAAAGACGCCCCCUGCCUCAAGGACCCAGCGUUACUGAGACUAGCACUGCAAGGAAAAAAUAUGAGAAGCUGGAGGGGACAGCAUCGCUGUGGCUACAGAGUGGGCGUGUGUCUGGGUCAGAGUAUGGUUCACCCUACUCCAGGGCGGGAAGGACGGUCAGUCUAAAGAAAGUCAGCUUUUGAUUUCAAAGACCACAGGCUAGAGGGAAGGCGCGCCACCACGAACAGCCUGGAUGCAUCAGUAAGAAACAACACGCAAAGACCACCAUAUCCCCCUCCCCCCCCCCCCCCCCCCCAGUCACACUACCCAGUUCGCUUCACUAAACUACAUCACACUUACCAC